GGAUACGAUGGGGAGCGAAACUAAGUAGCGAAGCAGCUGAUUUCACACUGUCGAGAAAAGUCUCUAUCGAGAUUAAAGGUACCCGUACCGCAAACCGACACAGGUGGGUGAGGAGAGUAUCCUAAGGCCAGCGAGAGAACUGUUGUUAAGGAACUCGGCAAAAUGACCCCGUAACUUAGGGAUAAGGGGUGCCCCAGAAAUGGGGCCGCAGAGAAUUGGCCCAAGCGACUGUUUACCAAAAACAUAGGUUUCUGCUAAGUCGCAAGACGAUGUAUAGGAGCUGACGCCUGCCCGGUGCUGGAAGGUUAAGGGGAUCUGUUAGAGCAAUCGAAGCAGUGAUCUUAAGCCCCAGUAAACGGCGGCCGUAACUAUAACGGUCCUAAGGUAGCGAAAUUCCUUGUCGGGUAAGUUCCGACCCGCACGAAAGGCGUAACGAUUUGGGCACUGUCUCAACAACAGACUCGGUGAAAUUGUAGUCCCGGUGAAGAUGCCGGGUACCUGCGACAGGACGGAAAGACCCCAUGGAGCUUUACUGUAGCUUGACAUUGGGUCUCGGUACUACAUGUACAGGAUAGGUGGGAGACUGAGAAAUCUGGGCGUCAGUUUAGAUGGAGUCAUCCUUGGGAUACCACCCUUGUAGUAUUGGGACUCUAACCAUAGGCCAUGAAUCUGGUCUUGGGACACUGUCUGGUGGGCAGUUUGACUGGGGCGGUCGCCUCCCAAAAGGUAACGGAGGCGCUCAAAGGUUCCCUCAGUACGGUCGGAAAUCGUACGAAGAGUGUAAAGGCAAAAGGGAGCUUGAUUGCAAGACAUACAGGUCGAGCAAGGUAGAAAUACGGACUUAGUGAUCCGGUGGUUCUGCGUGGAAGGGCCAUCGCUCAACGGAUAAAAGCUACCCUGGGGAUAACAGGCUUAUCUCCCCCAAGAGUCCACAUCGACGGGGAGGUUUGGCACCUCGAUGUCGGCUCAUCACAUCCUGGGGCUGUAGUUGGUCCCAAGGGUUGGGCUGUUCGCCCAUUAAAGUGGUACGCGAGCUGGGUUCAGAACGUCGUGAGACAGUUCGGUCCCUAUCCGUCGCAGGCGUAGGAAAUUUGAGGAGAUCUGUCCUUAGUACGAGAGGACCGGGAUGGACAUACCUCUGGUGUACCAGUUGUUCUGCCAAGGGCAUGGCUGGGUAGCUAUGUAUGGAAAGGAUAAGCGCUGAAAGCAUCUAAGCGCGAAGCCAACUUCAAGAUAAGAUUUCCCACCGCAAGGUUAAGAUCCCAGGAAG
rnacentral:rRNA from 1 species